rnacentral:rRNA from 1 species
AAUGAACGCUGGCGGCAGGCCUAACACAUGCAAGUCGAGCGGACGAAGGGGGCUUGCGCCUGGCUGCAGCGGCCGACGGGCGAGUAAUGCCUAGGAAUCUGCCUGGUCGAGGGGACUAACAUCAGGACACGGGCGCUAAUACCGCAUACGUCAUGAUGGAGAAAGGCGGGGAUCUUCGGACAUCACGCUAUCAGCUGAGACUAGGUCGGAUUAGCUAGUUGGUGGGGUAAGGGCCUACCAAGGCGACGAUCCGUAACUGGUCUGAGAGGGUGACCAGUCACACUGUAACUGAGACACGGUCCAGACUCCUACGGGAGGCAGCAGUGGGGAAUAUUGCGCAAUGGGCGAAAGCCUGAUCCAGCAAUGCCGCGUGUGUGAUGAAGGUCUUCGGAUUGUAAAGCACUGUAAGUAGGGAGGAAGGACAGUGAGUUUAUACCUGGCUGUUUUGACGUUACCAACAGAAUAAGCACCGGCUAACUUCGUG